CCUACGGGGGGCAGCAGUGAGGAAUAUUGGUCAAUGGGCGAGAGCCUGAACCAGCCAAGUCGCGUGAGGGAGUACUGCCCUAUGGGUUGUAAACCUCUUUUGUCGGGGAGCAAAAGCCGGACGUGUCCGGCUGUGAGAGUACCCGAAGAAAAAGCAUCGGCUAACUCCGUGCCAGCAGCCGCGGUAAUACGGAGGAUGCGAGCGUUAUCCGGAUUUAUUGGGUUUAAAGGGUGCGCAGGCGGAUUUUUAAGUCAGCGGUAAAAUCGUGGGGCUCAACCCCAUCCAGCCGUUGAACCUGGGGAUCUAGAGUGUGCGAGAGGUAUGCGGAAUGCGUGGUGUAGCGGUGAAAUGCAUAGAUAUCACGCAGAACCCCGAUUGCGAAGGCAGCAUACCGGUGCACAACUGACGCUCAGGCACGAAAGCGUGGGUAUCGAACAGGAUUAGAUACCCGAGUAGUC
rnacentral:rRNA from 1 species